rnacentral:rRNA from 1 species
AUACGAGUGGGGCGAGCGUUAUUCGGAUUUACUGGGUGUAAAGGGCGUGUAGGUGGUUAGGUAUGUUAGGUGUGAAAUCCCUCGGCUUACCCGAGGAACUGCAUCUAAAACUACCUGACUAGAGUGUUGGAGAGGAAAGCGGAAUUCCUGGUGUAGCGGUGAAAUGCGUAGAUAUCAGGAGGAACGCCGGUGGCGAAAGCGGCUUUCUGGCCAAACACUGACACUGAGGCGCGAAAGCUAGGGGAGCGAACGGGAUUAGAAACCCCAGUAGUCC